rnacentral:rRNA from 1 species
UACGGGGGGAGCAAGCGUUGUUCGGAUUUACUGGGCGUAAAGGGCGCGUAGGCGGCCACCGCAAGUCGGUUGUGAAAUCUCCGGGCUUAACCCGGAAAGGUCAAUCGAUACUGCGGGGCUAGAGUGCAGAAGGGGCAACUGGAAUUCUCGGUGUAGCGGUGAAAUGCGUAGAUAUCGGGAGGAACACCAGUGGCGAAGGCGACUACCUGGCCUGUUUCUUGACGCUGAGGCGCGAAAGCUAGGGGAGCAAACGGG